CCUACGGGAGGCAGCAGUGGGGAAUUUUGGACAAUGGGCGAAAGCCUGACCCAGCAACGCCGCGUGAAGGAUGAAGCUUUUCGGAGUGUAAACUUCAUAAGAAUGGGAGGAAUAAGUGUGGGAUAAUACCCUUCACGAUGACGGUACCAUUUGUAAGCUCCGGCUAACUCCGUGCCAGCAGCCGCGGUAAUACGGGGGGAGCAAGCGUUGUUCGGAUUUACUGGGCGUAAAGGGCGCGUAGGCGGCGCGACAAGUCACUUGUGAAAUCUCUGGGCUCAACCCUGAACGGUCAAGUGAUACUGUCGUGCUAGAGUGCGGAAGGGGCAACUGGAAUUCUUGGUGUAGCGGUGGAAUGCGUAGAUAUCAAGAGGAACACCUGCGGCGAAGGCGGGUUGCUGGGCCGACACUGACGCUGAGGCGCGAAAGCCAGGGGAGCGAACGGGAUUAGAUACCCCGGUAGUCCUGGCCCUAAACGAUGAAUGCUUGGUGUCCGGGGUUAGAUAGUCCUCGGGUGCCGUCGCUAACGCUUUAAGCAUUCCGCCUGGGGAGUACGUGCGCAAGCAUGAAACUCAAAGGAAUUGACGG
rnacentral:rRNA from 1 species